UACGGAGGGUGCGAGCGUUGUCCGGAAUCAUUGGGCGUAAAGGGCGCGUAGGUGGCCUGGUAAGCGUGCGGUGAAAGCUCGGGGCUCAACCCCGAGUCGGCCGUGCGAACUGCUGGGCUGGAGCACUGUAGAGGCAGGCGGAAUUCCGGGUGUAGCGGUGGAAUGCGUAGAGAUCCGGAAGAACACCGGUGGCGAAGGCGGCCUGCUGGGCAGUGGCUGACACUGAGGCGCGACAGCGUGGGGAGCAAACAGG
rnacentral:rRNA from 1 species